UACGGGGGGGCAAGCGUUGUUCGGAAUUACUGGCGUAAAGGGCCAGUAGGCGGCCAACUAAGUCGGAUGUGAAAUCCCCAGGCUUAACCUGGGAACUGCAUCCGAUACUGGAUGGCUUGAAUUCGGGAGAGGGAUGCAGAAUUCCGAGGUGUAGCGGUGAAAUGCGUAGAUAUCUGGAGGAAUACCGGUGGCGAAGGCGGCAUCCUGGACCGACAUUGACGCUGAACGGCGAAAGCUA
rnacentral:rRNA from 1 species